CAGUGCUGGGGUCUCAGGAGGCAGCGCUCUGGGGACUUCUCCACUAUGGGCUGGAAUCUGCUCCUCCUCAUUCUCCUCAGUCAGGGCACAGGUGA
ensembl:miRNA